AGAAUUUGUAGCAUGCUCCAAACAUUAUCAGUUGAUCUGUACUACUGGAUGGCAUGUAUGGAGAGUGCAAGUGUGAGAAGAGUGAUAUCAAAGUUUGGCCUAAAUAACCACGAGAGUCAGAUUUUUUUCCUGGCACCAACCUCUGCCAGGCCAGUCCUGGUUGAACGUUUUUCAGGCCAGACCCUUGCCAACAUCAACAUGGGUGACAUUGAAGAUUGCAUUCAGCAGGGCCAAUUGACCCUUCAGAAUUUAAAGAAGAAAUGGUAAGAUAAUCAGCACAACAAAAUUCCUUUAUUGUUAAUCCC